GCCCGGUUAGCUCAAUCGGUAGAGCGUGAGACUCUUAAGAACUCUUCAAUCUCAAGGUUGCGGGUUCGACCCCCGCAUCGGGCU
rfam:Microdochium bolleyi strain J235TASD1 unplaced genomic scaffold Micbo1qcscaffold_18, whole genome shotgun sequence.